rnacentral:rRNA from 1 species
GCGUAGGAAUCUACCUAGAAGCGGGGGACAACCUGGGGAAACUCAGGCUAAUACCGCAUAAUCUCUACGGAGGAAAGCAGGGGCUCUUCGGACCUUGCGCUUUUAGAUGAGCCUACGUCGGAUUAGCUUGUUGGUGGGGUAAAAGCUUACCAAGGCGACGAUCCGUAGCUGGUCUGAGAGGAUGAUCAGCCACACUGGGACUGAGACACGGCCCAGACUCCUACGGGAGGCAGCAGUGGGGAAUAUUGGACAAUGGGCGCAAGCCUGAUCCAGCAAUGCCGCGUGUGUGAAGAAGGCCUG